UUGGGUUUCAAUUGUUUACCUCUGUUUUAGCCAUUGCUUAGGCUUCGGUUCUUUGUUGUGCAAGAAAAACAACACCACCGCAACUAUAAAAGUGUAUUUUUAAUUUUUAUAUUUGUUAAGCUUGAACAGCGAACGUUUCCUUUGUUUGUUUUUCCACUGAGCGUCAAGAGCAGACCGAUGUUAUUUGACUUGAGAUAUGACUGCACUAUGCUGUUGCUGUGACUCCAGUUAAUUCUACAAGACAUGCUGUGACAACAGGAGAGAUGGGUCCUCCGUCACAGAUGGUGUGGUCAGUGAAGAUGGUCGCCUGCAGGUUCAAGCUCAUUGCAUCUCCAACCCACAUCCACUGCCACUCUACUUAAGGGAAGUUAAAGACUAGAGCAGGGCGAUAUGGCCAAAAAUAUUUAUCACCAUAUAUAUUUGAAAAUUUGCGAUAACGAUAUAACUGACGAUAUAAUUGAUGCGAGACAAAAUACAACUCCACAACUAGCGCAAAAAGAAAAAACCCCAUCCAUUUAUUUUCACUUAAACAAGCAGCUGUUUUUUUUAUGCAUUAAAGCUAUAUCAAAAUUUAACAGUGCAAAUGCAAAUUCCUUGCUGAAAGUUUAACCCAAAUGCAUUUCCAGUAGAAAUGGGCUGACAUAUCCUGAGCAUAACCAUUUAUAAUAUCCACUGAAGUUAAAAAGAGGUGCUUUGCAACAUUAAACUGCAGUGUGCCAAAUAAAAAAGCCAAAUAUGUAUUUUUCGGACCAUAAGGUGCACGGGAUUAUAAGGCACAUUAAGCGAAACAAAGCAGUCAGAUAAAUCAAACUUUAUUCUACUCAUUCUUCUUGCUUCCUCCACUUCUGUACCAUUGAUUCAUUAAUGCUGUAUUCUAUCACAGCUGCUCUAUUCCCAUGUUGUUGCUGUAUAUUAAUGACUAACCUCGUAUUGUGGAUGGAUUAUCUCAGUUGUUCUCCUGACUGAAGUUUGGUCCGUUUACAGCAUCUUGCCAUGUGAUUGCAUUUGUCCCUAACCACCACGAACCCUCACGUUAACCUUUAUCGAGUGGAAAAGUAUUUUAUCUUGAUUAUAUAAGUAAUGUAGGAGCCAUAUGAGUUGCUCUUUUUUGACUAAGUGGGUUGGUUUAAAUGGACUCACUGUAUUGGUGCACAGGUGUGGGGCGUGCCUCAUGGGUGUGGUAGAUGAUAAAUGUGGUUGCACUCACCUGUUCACUGCACCUGAUGUUGGUGAGCAGAAAGGUAGGGUGAGCAUGAGGCAAAACUUUCUGUUGAUCGCAGCUUGAGCGCAGCUUGAAUGACUUUGAUAGAUUUUGACUGUAACUUGAUGUUUUUUGUAUAGUUGUGCACUAAUUGAUGCCAUAGGCCAAGUUGUUAUUUGGCAUACUAAUUGGUAGUGAUGGGUAGAUGAGGCCUCGUGAAGCGUUUCAGCACAUUCCCCAAACUGUGUGGACACAGUUUUGCUGUUUUGCUCCAUACUGACACCUGCUGGACCUUAAAUAUCAUUGUAGGCAACUUACUUGAGACUCACAACAUUUCACAACAAUUCAAUGACCUAGUCAUACUUAUACACUGUAAGGUAUUGUACUUUCUAUGGAAUCAUUUUAUAUCUUUUAUGUUGCAAAUAUUGUAGACAUCACCAGUGUGUGAAUGGGUGGAUGACUGGAUGUGUAAAGCGCUUUGGGGUCCUUAGGGACUAGUAAAGUGCUAUACAAAUACAGGCCAUUUACAUCUUUAAAAUAUAGUGUGAAU